UACGGAGGGUGCAAGCGUUAAUCGGAAUUACUGGGCGUAAAGCGCACGCAGGCGGUCAAUUAAGUCAGAUGUGAAAGCCCCGGGCUUAACCUGGGAACUGCAUUCGAUACUGGUCAGCUAGAGUCUUGUAGAGGGGGGUAGAAUUCCAUGUGUAGCGGUGAAAUGCGUAGAGAUGUGGAGGAAUACCGGUGGCGAAGGCGGCCCCCUGGACAAAGACUGACGCUCAGGUGCGAAAGCGUGGGGAGCAAACAGG
rnacentral:rRNA from 1 species